UACGUAGGGUGCAAGCGUUGUCCGGAAUUAUUGGGCGUAAAGAGCUCGUAGGCGGUUUGUCGCGUCUGCUGUGAAAAUCCAGGGCUUAACCCUGGACCUGCAGUGGGUACGGGCAGACUGGAGUGCGGUAGGGGAGAUCGGAAUUCCUGGUGUAGCGGUGAAAUGCGCAGAUAUCAGGAGGAACACCGGUGGCGAAGGCGGAUCUCUGGGCCGUAACUGACGCUGAGGAGCGAAAGCAUGGGGAGCGAACAGGA
rnacentral:rRNA from 1 species